UUUGUUUUGUUUGUGAAUCAAAUGCUAUGUGUACCUGAGCAGGACUUAGAUAUACUUCUCUAUAUUCCCAGCCUCAUAUCUCAGUGCCUUCACCCAGAACAUUCUGUGCCUCCCCUGUGCUUCCCUGGAGCACUCUGCUCAUGGCUGGGGAGAGGCAGAGGAAUAGUCCCCAUGAGCUGCUCUACCACUGGGACCCCGAAAACUGAGAAGCUGUGAUCCUCCUAAUUGGAAGAGAAACUAAAGAGGAGCUCCUGUUAGUGGAUGUAGAGCUUGAAACCCUAGACCUCAGGCUCCAGAGGAAGAAGAGGAGGUGAACAGAAGAGCAGAAGUACAGCAGAAUGGCAUGGCAGAGAGAAGAGAAGGAACAUCUGAAAGCCAAGAGGAAUUUGGCAGGGGACAUUUAAAGAGGAGAUUGGCCACUGGACAGCCAAACUCGGGAAGAUUAUCUUCCCAAUCUAUCCCCCUUCCAGUUCCCCAUCCAUCCCACUGAGUGCCACCUCCACCACUCAGUAAAACCUCUGCAUUCAUCUUUCAGGUCUCCAUACACAAGCCUGGAGCCUGAAAGUCUGAAGUCCUGCUUGCCUUGGAUGAUGUCUCCCACCCUCUGCCUGUGUUCUCCAUUGUUCCUGGUCACCCAGCGGAGCUUCUGGGACAAGCCCCUCACCCAACCCUGCCAUCUUAACUGUUCUUAUGAUAAUGUGAAUACCUCUCACCCAGCCCUGCCAUUGUAACUGAACUUGUGGUCGUGUAUACUCCUUGCCCCACCCCCCACCACUGUAACUGAACUUACUCUGCAAGACCCCCACCCCCCAAAACUACCCAAAUCUAUAAAACCAUCUCCUAUCCCAGUGCCCUUUGCUAAUGCCCUUUUCAGCCUUAGCCCACCUGCACCCAGGUGAAAAAACAGCCAUGUUGCUCACACAAAGCCUGUUUGGAAGGUCCAUUCAUUCAAAGCAAGCAUUUUUCAACAGGUUUUCUGGGCCUUACAGAUGCUUCCUCUCCUGGGAUGCUCCCAUGGAUCUCAGGUAGUUCCCUUGUUUCUGAAACACUGAAACAAGCUGAAGGUGCAAUGGGACAAUACUGUGGGGAAGAGAAGAGGCAGAGAACUGAUAUUCUUUGUUACAAACCAUUUUACCCUAUUUUCUAUUCAUAGUAUACCUGUAUGACAUUAAGAAAUAAAAAUGUUAAAGAAAGGUAAGUUGAAAAAAAAUGAAAAAGAGGGCAGCAUAGAAGAAAUACUGUGAAAAGUUGGUCAAGGGUAAUUUACUGAAAAGCAGCUAACAUGCUGUAAGUUAUCUCAGGUCAACUUAGAACCCCAUCAAAUACCUAGGAGG